UGUUCCCACUGUUAGGAAUCCCAUAAGAGCACCAAUGUAUAUAACUGUUAAUAUAUGCAAUAUGCCUAGGUCAGACUGGUGCAGACUCCCUGGUUGUCAGUUCAGUUUCUGUGAGCCCCUAUGAGCCCAGGUUAGUUGAUUCUGUGAGUUUUCUUAUGUUGUCCUUGACACACAUUUGGUUCCUAAAAUCCUCUCUAUCCCUAUUCUGCAGGAUUCCCCAAAUUCUGCCUAAUGUUUGGCUAUGGGUCUGCACCUGUUUCCAUCGGUGGCUGGAUGAAGCCUCUCUAAGGACAAUUGGGUUAGGCACCAAUCACCAAUCUGGUCACAGGAGAUGUGUAAGCAAAACCACGAGAGUCUGUUAAAGGGGUAUCAAGGAUUUAUUAAGAUAUAAAAUGGGAAAAAUACAUUCACAGGUACAGAACAAGUAAACAGCAGUCAUUGGCCUCCAUUCUACCUGAAAGUGCAUGGUUCUGGCCCUCAGGUCUCUGAUCACCCCAAGAGAGAGUGCACAACUUGACUCCCUCUGCUCUUAAGGGGUCACAUAUGCAGACAGAAGGCCAUGCCUUAGAGUUUGUACCCUCAAAGCCAUUGAUGGAACGAGUUCCAACAGAGAUGGCCAUUUCAAGCUACAUAUCUAAGAUUCCUAGCAAUAGCAGAUAUGUUGUGGAUUCCUGGGAGAGUCCCUUGCACCAGAUUUUUACCUGGCCCCCAAACGCCCCCUCCCCUCCAGUGGUCUCUUCAAUACUCUGCCCCUUUGUCCCCCUCAACCUGAUCAUUCAUGGUCCUAUGCCCAUCCUCCCUCUGUUUACUCACAAACUCUCUUCUAUUUCCCCUUCCCAGGGAGAUCUGGGUAUCCCCCCAUGAAACACCUUUGUUACCUAUUCUCUCUGGGUCUGUGGAUUGUAGCAUAGUUACGCAUUAUCUUACAGCUAAUAUCCACUUAUUAGUGAGUACAUACCAUGCUUGUCUUUUCCAGUCUGGAUUAUCUCAUUCCCAAUGAUUUUUCUAGUUCCAUCAUCCAUUUGCCUUCAAAUCUCUUGGUGUCCUUGUUUUUUUUAACAGCUGAGUAAUACUCCACUGUGUAAAUGUAACACAUUUUCUUUAGCCAUUCUUUGGUUGAGGGACAUCUAGGUUGUUUCCAGUUUCUGGCUAGAUCCCACCUAGCUAAGUGUCCAACUUGUGUAGAGGAACAAAAGAAAAGCUUAGAGCCAGGUGUGGUGGGGCACACUUCUAAUCCCAGCACUGUCACAUCUCUGAGUUUGAGACCAGCCUGGUCUACAGAGCAAUUCCAGAAUAGCCAAGCUUGGACAAUGAAGAAAACCAUGGAAAUCAGAUAGACGGUGAACUGAGUGAGUGGGCCAUGUUCUAGCUCCAACAAGAUGCACAACUUGGCAGUUUUGGCCAUGUGGUUCUGGCUUUACAGUUAAUGAUAAGAAAAAGAGGUUAUGGAAUUUGCUUCAGCACCUAAGGAAAGCAACUGAGGUCAGGCAUGUGUCAGUGGUAUCCCUGAAUGGAGGCCUAGAGAGUCCAAUGCAUGAAGCUGUGAAUUGAAGCCUGAAUUUCCUUGGAAAACUCAAGAUGUUAGAGAUGCCAAAGUCACUGGAUACCUGCUGAGGAGAGCUGCUAACAGAGAGUGGAACCAGCCCAAGAGAAAGAAGUGUGUUGUAGUCAACAAAGCUGAAAGGAAUUGGAGAUCUGAAGAGUGCUUUGUUCUCAGACAUGGAGAUGCCUAGUUUGGAGUUUGCUCAGCUGGCUUUUGGUCUUGCUUUGGUCCAUUAUUUCCUCACACUGCUUCUUUAUCUACAUUUUGGAGUGGUAAUGCAUGUCCUGUGCCAUUACAUGCUGGAAGUAUGUGAUCUGUUUUCUUUUAUUUUGAUUUAUAGGGGAUUAUAAUUCAGAGAUUGUAUGAAUCUUAGAAGAAACUUGGAACUUUCAAUUUUUAAAUAAGUUUGAGACUGUUAUAGAUAUGGGGACUUCUGAAGUUGAGCUGGAUGCAUUUUUACAUUAUGAUAUGACUAUAAGUCUUUGGGGGCCAGGGAGUGGAAUGUGGUAAUUUGAAAAAAAGUGGCCCCUAAUGGAAGUGACAUUAUUAGGAGGUAUGGCCUUGUUGGAGUAGGUGUGGCCUUGUUGGAGGAAGUGUGUCACUGUGGGGGUGGGUAUUGAGUUCUCCUAUGUUCAAGCUACUCCCAUUUCCCAUUGCCUGGAGAUGUAGGACUCUCAGUUACUUCUCCAGCAUCAUGUCUGCCUGCAUACUACCAUGUCCCACCAUAAUAAUAAUGUACUGAACUUCUGAACUUUAAGAGAGCCACCACAAUUAAAUGUUUUUUCUUUAUAAGAGUUGCUGUGGUCAUGGUGUUGCUUCACAACAAUAGAAAUUCUAACUAAUAUACUAUUCAAAACCUCCCAAGUGUAAGAAGCCCAGGUAUAGAUAGAUUUAGCACAGACAAUCAAAGAACUGAUAAAAUUAUUCCAUAAAACAGAAAAAGGAAGACUUCCAAAUUCUUCUUACUAGGCAAAUAUUUUUCUGAUACUAAAACCAGAUAGUGAUCUAAGAAGAAAGGAGAUGUAUUGGCAAUCUUCCUGAAGAACACAGAUGAAACACUCUGAAUAAAAUAUUUACAAACCAAAUUUAAGAAAAAUUAAAAAAAAUCACUAAUCAUUAUCAAGAAACUUUUAUCUAGAGAUGCAGAGCAGGCUUAACAGACAUAAAUCAAUAAAUACAAUCUACCACAUAAAAAGAUCCAAGGACAGAAAUCUCAUGAUCAUCUCAGUAUAUGCAAGGACAGCCUUUAAGAUAAUCCAAUUAUUUUUUUUAUUAAAAUUCUGAAGAAUAGGGAUGCAGGAACAUAUAUUAACAAAAUACAGGCAAUAUUUAACAAGCCUGCAGCAUACAUAAUGUUAAAUGGGGGAAAGGUCAAAGCAUUUCCAGUAAAAUCAGAAACAAAACAAAGAUGUUCAUUCUCUCUACUUCUGUCCAACAUAAUGUUGGAAGUCUUAACUAAAAUGUCAAGACAAGAGCAAGGGAUGAAGAGGACACAAACAGGCAAGACAGAAGUCAGUGUAUCCUUAUUUAUAGAUGAUACAGUUUUAUACAUUAAAAACUCUCCUCAAGAACUUAAACAGAUAAUAAACACAUUCAGCAAAGCAGCAGAUAAAUAACUUGUGCACAAAAAAAUUGGUUGCCUUCCUAUAUACAUACCAACAGCAACAUACAGAAAAAGAAAUCAGGAAAAUGGUCUCAUUCACGAUAACCUAAAAAAUAAACAAAGUAUCUUGGGAUAAACCUAACCAAGGAGCUGAAUGACUCAAACAAUGAAGACUUUAAGACACAAAAGUGUAAAAACUAGAUACCAAAAAAACAAAACAAAACAAAACAAAGAAGAUAUCAGAAGAUGGAAAGGACACCACUUGUGCUCAUUGAUCGAUAUUGAGAAAAUGGCCAUCCUACCAAAAAAAAUCUACAGUUCAACCCAAUACCCAUCAAACAUAAAUCUUCACAGAACUUGAAAAAUAAUCUUAAAAUUAAUACAGAAGUUUACGCACAGUAGUGCACAAAUUUAAUCAUAGCAUAUGUGAGCAGAGGCAGGCAAAUUUCUUUGAGUUUAAAGUCAUCCUGGCUUACAUAAUGAGUUUCAGGCCAAUCAGGGUUAUGUAGAGAGACAUUGCUUCAAAAAAUUAAUAUAAACACACAAAAGACCAAGGAUAACCAUAGCAAUUUUGAAUAAUAAAAAUACUAUUGGGAUUAUGACCAUCCCUAACUUCAAGUUGUGCUACAGAGCUCUAGCAAUAAAAACAACAUGGUACUGAUAGAGAAAUAGACACCAUGGGACUUCAUGAAACUAAAAUCCUUCUGUAUAAACAAAAGAAACUUUAUCAUUUGAGUUCAGAGGCAUGCUACAGAAUGAGAAAGUAUCUUUACCAGCUUUGCAUCUGAAUAGAACCAAACAAAGUCAUUAAAAGGUAAAAUAUAACUGUCAGAGAAAUAACUUUUUGAAUAUUCAACUUUCUUAACCACCAGGGAAAUAUAAUUUAAAAUGACUUUGAGAUUUCACCUUACCCCAGUGAAAAUGGCUAAGAUCGAAACAACAGCAAGAGAAGACAACUGCUGACAUGAAUUUUGGGGAAAAGGACCACUUAUUCACUAUUGGUUGGAGUGCAAGCCAGUGCAACUGCUUGGAAACCAGUGUGCAGGUUCCUUUAAAAAACUGAAAAUAGGGCCGGGCGGUGGUGGCGCACGCCUUUAAUCCCAGCACUCGGGAGGCAGAGCCAGGCGGAUCUCUGUGAGUUCGAGGCCAGCCUGGGCUACCACGUGAGUCCCAGGAAAGGCGCAAAGCUACACAGAGAAACCCUGUCUCAAAAAACAAAAAACAAACAAACAAACAAAAAAAACUGAAAAUAGUCCUACCACAUGACCCAGCUAUACUAUUCUUUUGAGUACAAAAGACUUCAUAUCUUACUACAGAGAUACCUGCCCAUGCUUCUUCAAUACUGUUCUGUUCAUAAUGAGGGGCAAAUGGAAACAACCUAUAUGUCCUAUAUAUUGGGCAGAAAAUGAAAAUGUAGCAAAUACAUACAAUGGAAUCUUAUCCAGAUGUAAGAAUUAUGAAAUUUCUAGGCAAAUAAAUGAAGCUGGUAAUAAUUAUUCUGGAUAAAGUAACCCAGGCCUAAAAAGGCAAACUGUGCAUAUUCUCCCUCAUAUAUUGAUGCUAGUUUAAAAUUUUCAUAUAUGUGUAUUUGAAAUGGAGUACCAAUUGAAGACAGAAAAAUUGUAAGGGGCCAAAUCAGUGUAUGCUUACCAAGUGAGGACAGAAUGGAGGUGUUAACAAAGAAGAAAGGGAAAUAAUGGAACAAGAAGGAUUAAAUAGGGGAGAUAAGAGGGCUGGGUAGAGAAGAGGGUGUGGAGAGGGCUAACUAACACUAAAUUCCUUUGGAAACAACAGAGGGAAACAUACUAACCUACUAGUUUUGAAGUCUCUCAUAUAUAUAUAUAUAUAUAUAUAUAUAUAUAUAUAUAUAUAUAUAUAUAUAUAUAUGAGAGAGAGAGUGCAAAGGAAAUUACCCUGUAACAGGAGGACAAUGCCCUUCCCAGUGAGUAUAUGCAAAGACUUGCAUAAGAUCAAGUCAAAAGUAUAAGCAUGGAUCAGGGAAGUUCAUUGUUCCUACCCCUAGCUGAGGAUCUAUUGACAAUUGAUGGCUGCUGAAGGAGGAACAGCCGGUUUUCCUUGACGAUAUGGUGGCACCCAAGAGGCUACCCAUGCUCCAAGAGGUUCAUAUGCCCCAUGGUUCCACACAUGCACUUAGCAUUAAGAUAAGAAUUCAGAAGGUGCUUGUUUUAACAAAAUUAACACAUGAAGUUGGGAAGGAAUAGCAAUGGGGGGUAUGAGGGACUGAAGGAGAGUGAGUGGGAGAUGAGUGUGAAUUUGAUAAAUUACAUUAAAAAUAAAAUUUAAAUUUGAGAAGUUGAAAAUAAAAUGAAAAUUAAAACAAAGGGAAACAUCAGCAUACAUCAUAGAGAGUGACUAAAAUUUUCAAAAUUGACCGUACAGCAUUUGGAGAACAUGUCAAAAUUGACCGUACACCAUUUGGAGAACAUGUGGAAGAACUGAAGUGUAAAUGCACAAUGGCAAAAGCACUUUGGGGUCAUUGGAUAGUUUCACAAAGUUGACCACUACACACAACUGUAAUAUCUGCUUUCAGGUAUUUACUUAAGAAAAGUGAAAGCAGAAUUUUAGGCAAAGGCUGGUAUGUGUAAGUUCAUGGUUGCUUCAUAGGUAAAAUUCAGAAAUGGAAAAAAUAUAAACUAUCAAGAGAUGAAUGAUUACAUACACACACACACACACACACACACACACACACACACACACACACACACACAAACACUAUGUGGAAUACACAUGGAAUGGAAUACUCUCCAACAAUAAAAUGUAGGGACUACUGAUAGACACAUCAGAAUGAAUUUCAUUUGUAUUAAGAAAAUUCAUAUUUUUUUAUUCCAUUUUAUGCAACAAUUUAGAGAAGUCAAAUAUCUUGUCUAUCAGUAAUUGAAAGUGCAUUAGCUAUUGCUUGGAUAAUGGGAUUAGGAAUGAAUAUGUCCACAAUUUAGAUGCUGAUGAUGUUUCACAUUCCAAAUUUUAUUCAAGUCCAUACUUUAAUUAUUUGCAAUUUUUCAUUAUUUAUAAUUCUAAAAUGAUACUUGGGAGAUGAAAUAGAAGUACUAAAAGGUAAAGUAAACCUCUCAGCACACAUUGCUGGUAGACAACCUCUCCCCCAUAUAAAAUAAUAACAAAAAAACUAGAACAAUCUGUGAGUUCUAGGCCAGCCUGGUUUACAGAGCAAGAUCCAGGACAGGCACCAAAACUACACAGAGAUCCCCUAUCAGCGCACUUGGUUCAGACAGAGCUGACAGAUUCAGGAAGUCUCUCUCUCUUGUCCAGAUGGGAACUCCGGGGCAGGAUGGGAGCUCUUGUCCAGAAGGUGGGGGGGGGGGAGGGGGGAGAACAAGGGAAUCUGUGGCUGAUAUGUAGAACGGAAUUGUAUUGCAAAAUAAAAAAAAUAUUGAAAGCUAGCACCUUUAAUGAGUGGGAAAUAUAUAGCUCUUUCUUGCUAUAGAAUGAAAAAGAAAAACAGAAAUAAAGCUAUUUAAUGUGAAAAAAAACUACACAGAGAAACCCUGUCUCAAAAAACAAAAACAAAAACAAACAAAACCAACAACAAAAACCACCCCCCCAAAAAAACACAAAUCAAAAACAAGCAACAAAUCCUAGAACAAAUCAGAAACAUUAUACAUCUAUAGCUGCUAUCUUCUUAACGGGGUUUGCUGCUGCCCAAGCUCCUGUUGAGUUAGUUCUGCAGUGAGGAGGUGUAGGAGCUGUUGGGAGUGGUUUUCACUGUAUGGCGGUGGGAGCUGUUGGGACUAAUUUUCAUUGUGGGAGUGGAGAUGGAUUAUCCUUUGUCCCAGGAGUGGACUAAAGCACUUUGGAGUCAGUCCUUUCUCUAUCUUUCUCCAGUGCCCAUUCUCUCUCUGUCUCUCUGUCUCUGUCUCUCUGUCUCUGUCUCUCUCUGUCUCUCUCUGUCUCUCUGUCUCUCUCUCUCUGUCUCUCUCUGUCUCUCUCUGUCUCUCUCUGUCUCUCUCUCUCUCUCUCUCUCUGUCUCUCUCUCUCUCUCUCUCUCUCUUUCUCGUCAUAAAUUGAAAAAUCAUGCACCUCUCCCUAGGUGCCACCACUGGCUUCUGCCAGCCUCCAGAGCCUUGAGACAAAAUAAAUCCUUAGGUAUUCAAUUACAUCAAAAAUCAAAAUCAGUUACAGAAAAUCAAGGAAAACAAGAAUCAAACUGGUUAUAAUAAAAAUCUGACUAGCAGUAUUACAAAAGAGAAGAUGAAAAUUUCUUCAAAAUAAUAGAAGAAAAAUGUUUAAAGCAAGAGACACAGUCCUUUAGAUUGAAGGUUGCUUAAGAUCCAACAUGACAAUUAAAAAUUUACACUAAAUAUCUACCCUGUGAAACAGUGAAAAGAUGGCCCUUGGACCAGAAGCAGUUGUGUUGGGGAUGGAAUCAGGAAUAAAAAGAUCACCUUGCUCGACACAGGAAAGACUCAGGGGAGGAAUAACUAGCAUUAAGAAUGUUUGAAAAGGCCAUAUGGAUACCUAUUUUAUAAGCUGCUCGAAUAUAUAUUCAUAUAGACUAAUUCAGUGGGAAGUAACUCUACACAAAGGAAAACCUUAAAGAAGCCAUAGACUGCCAAUAAAAAGCCCAGUGCCAGGUUUGGUACACCUCCUCUCUAUUUCUUGGUCACAGGUGUCUUUUACCAAUUUUCUUUCUUGCCCACCAGAACUUAAUGGUAAGAUCCUAUUGCUGGAGACCCCACACACUUUGGUCACAGGACAUUGAGAAAUGUACUUGGUAAUCACCAGGAAGUUUCCUCUGUGCUGGCCAACUUUCAUAGUAGGUAUCUGGAGGAGAAACUGAACCCUAUAAACAUCAAUAAUGACUGGAGUGCAUGGAGAGAUAUGCCUAUGACAGCAACAAUGACAUGAAAGUUAUGGGAGUAAACACAUCUUUUAUUAAUUAUUUUAUUUAAUAUUCAAACACACAACCACUUUCAGAUUAGAUUUACAGGACUUUCAACAAGAAUCAAUACAUACCUGUUACUGUAAGUCUGGCUAAGCACAAUUAUUAUUAAGAAACUCAGAAGACCCACUGAUGAACUUACUGUAGUUCUGCUAAAUGGACAUCAUGCCAAACUACCCUCUAAAUUUGUAUCUCUCUAUUCAUAAAUUAAUGCAGCUCAAGACCUCAUCAGAGAAGUUUGUGCACUGGAUGAUGGUUAGUGAAGAAACUCACAACUGGUUGAAGUCAAAGAAUAAGUGCUGGUGGAGAGUUUAUCCCCUUUUGGGACCAUGGAAGAAGAGAGGGUGGGUAGGUAACAACAGCCAGGGUUUGGGGAGUACCAAAGUGAAAUGAGAUCUUGUGGACAUGACAGAAUCUCUGCACUCUGAAGUUCAGCAGCUGUGGUUCCUCCUACAAGACCUGUCUAAGAUAAAACUGGUUAUCAUUCUAACAUAGAUGAGGAGGAGAUUCUGGCUGGAGAACUAUUAACAGUUGAUGGCUUCUUGGAGAAGGAGAUGGAGUUUUCUCUGAUGAUGAGCACCUGGUAAGCAAAUAACUCUGCAGUGGAUGAUCACACACCCACAAGUACCUGGGCAGUACGAAUUGGGCUGUUUGUGUCCUUUUUUAAAGAGGACACAAAGUUGGGAGCUUUUUGUGGAGAUGGAGGUAGAUCUGAGAAGAAUUAGGGGUCAUGUGAGGGUGAAUAUGAUCAAGAUAUGUUAUCAACGAACUAAUAAAACAUUGUAUUUUAAAGAGACCAAUCAGCAUCACACUUGUUACCAGCCUCCCUGCAUGACAAACACAGCAGAAGAGAAGCCUCAACAAGUGAGGGAAAUUAUCACCUCGAGUCAGUUCUAAUCCCUAGUGAACAUAAAGGAUUCCAGAGAAAUUCAGAUAUAAGAAAAACGUUUGGUCACAUAACACCUUUCUGGGACAUUAGCUGGGUAUGAGCUAAGGUGUGAUGAUGGAUAGAGCCUGGAAAGAGGAAGACAGGAGCCAAAACAUUAUUGAAAUAAUCUAAAGGUUUAAUGGAAUGAAAUAAUUGAACCCGAGUUUUCUAUCAGGCCUCCAAACAGGCAAUUUUAACUAGUAGAGGAAGUCAGGAAGAAGAUGGCUUCAUGAAGAAAAUAUUUCAAUAGUAAGGUUAAUGUCUGAAGUGGUAGAUAAGAGUAGCUUCUUGCUGGAUAUGCUGGUGCAUGCCUUUAAUCCCAGCACUCAGGAGGCAGAGAUAGAUGGAUAUCUGUGAGUUCCAGGCCAGCCUGGUCUACAAAGCAAAUUCCAGGACAGCCAGGACUGUUAUACAGAGAAACCCUGACUCAAAAAACCAAAAAUAAAUAGAGUAGGUUCUUUGUGUCUUUCUUCAUGGAGAAAAAAUAAGAUGCACAGUGAGCAUCAUGGUUCACAUCAGUGAAGUUGAGGCUGGUCUCAGCUAUGCAGUGAAUUCCAUGCCAGCCUGAGAUGAACAAGGAUGCUCUCAAAUUAAUAAGGGAAAGGCUAAAGACAGAGGGAAUGAAGGAAAGGAAAGGAGAAAGGGAGAGGAAUAACUAGAAACCAGAGACCCCAGGACCUAUAUUGAUGUGUGAUGGGAAGCAAUUCAACCUACAGAAUUGAUAGUCUGUGUAGCUUGAAUCAAGUGGAAGAGUGUUAAAAAAAAAAAAAAAAGUAACCCAUUUGACCUGGACCUUAGUUAGCUCUGUUUUCCUUUCAUUUGAGGUUAAGACACAAAACCAAAAAAGGUUUAAAGAAACCCGACUAACUGCCUAGCUCUGCAUUGAAUUAUAUUUGUAUAAUUUUGAAAUUUCUACGUCGGUAGUUUGUUUUCAACUUUUAGAAUUAGUUUCCCAGUGAAGUUCUCCAGGACGGAGUCUAGUGAAGUGCAGCUCCUGGAUGCUCUCAGCUUGGCUUGUGCCGUUGGCCUGUGCCAGUCUCAAGGCAGAAGCCUGCAGUGGGUAAAGCAAUUCUCUUCUCUCUUCUUGCAGUAAUGACUUUUACACAUUUAACAGGAUCAGUAAGCCUUUAACUGCACUCACAGAGCACAGUUCAAAAGUGUGAGUGUUCAUUGGUUCUCAACUUUCAGCAGAAGUUUGUAAACAUAGUGUUAAACAUCGACAUUUUGUGACUGCAACUGGAGCAUAAACAUUUUCAAACCUGAUAGCAAAAAAUUAAAGAUACAGCUAAAGUUAGAUUGGGGGCAGAAAAGGAGAAAGAGAAACCCAUUUAAGGAUGGAAGUUUUUAGUGUUUUUAUGUUUUUUUUUAAAGCCUUUAUUUCUACACCAUCCUUAGAAGCCAAGACAAUGAACCACCCUGGGAUCAACAGAUGGAUGGCUAAAGUGUGGCCUAUACACACAGUAUCAUUACUUAGCCAGAAAGAGAGUGAUGGCUUAUCUUUUGCAGCAACAUGGAUUUGGAGCUAGGGUGUGUUAAAUGACAUCAGCCAGACAUAGAAGAACAAAUAUCAUGUGUUCCCUCUCAUAUGUGGAAGCUGCAAACAUUGAUCUCAGAGCAGAAAAGAAGAAUAGCGAUUACCAGAGAGUAGGAGGAGUGGAAGGAAGCUGGAUGGAAAAAGGCAAGCCAACCAGUGUAAGGUUGAGCAUCCAGCAGCACAGUAGGCAACUAUACACCACACUAGCCUGUCAUGUACUGUAGGAAAUACUGCCAGAGAGGAGCAGGGAAGCACUAAAUAUAGAGGAAGAAAUGAUGCUAACGCACUUUGUAUACAAGGUAACACUGUACUGUAUACAUCAUUACAUUUUAAAUUUGAAAACAAAAUGACAGCAAAUUAAUUAAACAAGAGGUCAAUACCUAAACCCAGUGUAGCAAGACGAAGAGAUUUAACUUCUUAGAGAUAUUUUCUAGUCAACUGGUGGUCAGGUCCCUUAAUCUGUUUCAAGAAGCACAGGGCCACUAGGCCCACUCUUCUCUCUCAUGUCAAUAUGUGGUUAUUUAGUUCUUUAUUUUGUUUCUUAAGAACCUGCCUCAACUGAAUGCACCAGGCUCUGCUGACACCCCAUGGGAGACUUUGCCUUGGAGGAGAUGGGAAUGGGGGAUGGAAAAGGCUGGGGGGUGGGAAGAGGGAGGACAGAGGAAUCUGAGGUUAAUAUGUAAAAUGAAUAGAAAAUCUCUUAAUAAAAAAAUAAAGUAAAAAAAUUAAAAAAAGAACACUGGAGAUUGAAGUCAAGGUCUAGUGCAUACAUGCACCGUACUUCUGCCCAGCUGCAGCUGGCUGCAUGUUCAGUAUUUGUAUUCUCUAUGUGCAGCCUGCUGAUUCUGAGUUGAAUCUGCUUAUCUAAAACCAAGAGGCAUGGAAUGAGUCUCUCUAACACUAGAAAUGUCUCAAUCAAUAAUGGCUGCUAUUUUAGUCCACCUGGUACAAGUCCCUACUCUAGAACUGUGGAGGCUUUUAAAGAGCCAGUCUCCUCCAAAGUGUAUCCCCUUUACGAUGAGCAGUGAUAAGCUCCAUGCUUACCAAGUAAGAAAUUCUAAGCUAGAACUGUGAAGCAGUCACAUGUGAAUGUAGGCUCUGUCAGCCGUGGAUGGAGGAGUGAAUAGUCUGGGUGGAGGCUCCCUGGGGGGCCACUGGACCCUUUGGUAAGCAAAACAGAUACUUCUAAGAAAGCAGUUAUUGGUCUUUUAAGUUUGUCACCAGGACUGGCCCAGUGACCUAGGUGAGAAAUGUUCCCACAGAGGUAUUCUCACCACAGAUAACAACUUAGUUUAAGGCAUGACUAAGUCAUGACUCCAGAGAAGACUUGAAAUACAAGACUAGUUUACAUAUUGGAGCAAGGGGUGAAAAUGGUCCUUGUAUCAUUCCUGACUAUGUUACAAGUUGCUGUGCAUGGAUGUAGAGCAGCUGCUCAGCAGCAUCUGGCUAAGAGCAUCAUGAGACGCUCAGGAUUCCCAGGAGGGAGACAGGGCUCUCAGUAACCUCUGUCUGCAUGGAAGUGCCCAUAAUCUGAAUUAAUUAAUUCAUUCACUCACUCAUUUGUUCAUUCCAUGAUACGAUCUCACUUUCAUGCUAGAAAAGAGGCAAUGGAAAUGGCCUUACGAUGCUGAAAAACUCAAAGGGUGGUCAUCCAGAGGUGGGGAGGUUGCUCCCUGGCUUCUGACAUGAAAAUGUGUGUUUCUUCAAACGCUAAUUUGAAGACUAGAAUAGGUUACUCUUUGUGCGGCUAUUUGUUCUUUGAAGUUCAAAUUUUAAACUAAAUUGUGAUUUUUUUUUCAGUACUAGUGACUAACUUAGAUCCUCACAUAAAAAUCACACAAAUUAUGUUUUUUUUCUUUCUUUUUUUCAAGAAAUAGUUCAACUGUUCUCUUGGGUAGUCAGUUUGGGGCUUUAAAUUCUUUUUAUUUUCAUAUAACCCAAGUGGACAAUUAAACAAGGUUGGAUUAAAAUAACCACACUAUUCAACAAGAGAGUGUUAAGGAAGAGAAAAAAAAUCAGUCUUCACAUUUGUCAGUUAGUCCUUUUUUAAUAAAUUUGAAUUCAUUCAACAAGUUUCAUAUUGUAUCUGUCACUCAAUUUUGCUGUUUUUUUUUUUCACGUCAAAUAAUACCAAAAAAUUACACCAAUGUGCUUAAGCAAAACCGGGUUUAAGUUUAUCUUUACAAUGAAAUGAAAUCGACGUGGCUCUCAAUCAGGACAGCAACCGCCUAUUCCUACUAGAACAAUCCUGUACUUACCUUGAACACAUCUACUGACUUGGGAAGUAGAAAAAUGAGUCAUGAAUGACAUGUUUGUGGGCCAUCCCUAGGAGAGGUAUGGUGCGUGAGCCAGUCUGGGAGGUCACUGUUACAAGGUAAGGGGAUUUAGUCAUUCAGGAAAACAUGGCACCUUUCAAUGCAGUAGAAGAGGUAAUCAGUCCAAGGCACACUCGCCAGUGUCCUGGGAAAUUUUCUCCACCAGGGCGGUUCCUUGCCCCAAGAGUCAACGUUACACUGAAGGAAAGUUCACACUGACAUGAAAGCCAGCAUUCGUUCCAAGAGUAACAAAGUAGUUUACCAGUGGUUCAGUUGGCUUAUAGAAAAUGGCCAGAAAUAUGAACUCAUUUUCAGGUGGAGGGCUAAAAUAUGAAUUUUAGUAGGGUUAUGCUUUUAAGUAAGGAGGUUCAAAAUUGGACACAUCUUUUCAGAAUGUGUUCACAUGGGGCACACAACUACAACUGCAAGGUGCCCGUCUCCUCUGAGAUCAUCUCAUUGGCGAAAUUGUCAAUUCCACGUUUCAAAAGAAGAGAAGUGUUUUUGGUGGGAACAACUGAAGAUGUCCCCAUGUUGGCAUCAAAACACACAAUUCUGCAGAUGGACAUGUCACUUGAAACCUAAUGGGAAUAAUAUUAUGAUCCACUUUCUAGUUCAUCUGAGAUUCAGGGGCAUUGAGUGGGCCAUGCCAUUGACAUCACAACCCCUCAACAGUCCUGGGGCUGGUGAGCAGGAGUGACUACUGUUUUAAAGAUGGUUCCGCUCUGGUAAGUCUUGCUCUGCUGGGAUUGAUGGAGGAGGGCUCUUGAGUUGUCACAGACAUAUCUGACAAUGACUAAUAGAGGGCUGUCAUCAAGGCAUCAACACCGUGAGCCCACUGCGAAGCAUUUCAUUUUGGAAAGACAGUACUACUGAGAAAAUUAAUGGUUUAUUGAGUUGAUGAGAAAUUAAAUUUUCUGUUCUUAAGAGCUCUAGGCAUGGGUAACAGCCACCUCCCAUCAGAGGUCCUGGUGGAAUCCCUUUGUGCACUCACUCACUGGCUCAAACGGCUACCGUAAAAGGACAAGAGGUUACUUUCCUAGAACAGGGAUGAGAUCCCACUCUUCUGCUAGAACAGCCAGAGUUCUCGUCUCAACACUUCUCACAGCUUUAAAAAAUAGAGAAGCCAUAAAAUAAUUUAUUAGGAGAAAAGUAUUUUUCUUCUGAAAUGGAGUAAAGCAAACACAUACCCAAGGAUCUUAAAAAGGAUUUUUUUUUUACAGAAUACAUGUAUGUAUUUGUGUGUGUGUGUGUGUGUGUGUGUGUGUGUGUGUGUGUGUGUGUGUGUGUGUGUGUGUGUGUGUUUGUGUAUGUGUAUAAUUACAAAUGCUACUUAGAGUCUAGAUACUAUGGUAACUUCAUUGCAGUGUCUAUAAAGUUGUGGAUCCCAGUCUUGGUGCCAAAUGCAUAUAAAAAGCUCAAAAGCUAUUAUGACUACACCAUGCAAAUUUAUAUCCAGAGAUUCCCAGGGAGUGCACUGCUGCUCUUCUGAGCCCUGUGGAGUCUCUGCCUCUGAUAUGUGGGUAUCUCAACGAUGCAUCAAAAAAGUUUAGAGUCACUUUUCUCCCAGAAAAAAAAGUCACAGUUCUUAGUAUGAUAAAUUAUCAGUCGCUGACUCCUGCCACACUGUUUGCAUUUUGGGCUCCCUCUUCUACAUGUGGCACUCACAUCUUCAGUUACAGGAUACACAGAGAGAUGCCUGAAGUAUUGAAAGGGAUAAGGUCUUUGCAAACAUUUGUUUUUCUUUAACAUGUUACAAUGAUAAGGCCACUUACAGGAUUUUUUUUUUUCAAAUCUGUUUAACUUGUUGCCUCCUCCCACUGUUACCCAUGAAAAAGAAAAUUUCCAGAGAAAAGCCAAAGGCCAAAAUUCACAGGCUCAUCUCCAGACAGAAAAUAAAGCCAAAGAGCAGUAAUUGGAAGAAAACUUCGUAGACAAGAAGGGAGGAGGCAAAGGGCAUAAAAUUCAGUAACUGUCCCUACGUGAGAUCUUGUGGAUGAAGCUUUUAUCUAAUGUUGUAUUUUCAACAGUCAGACUCCCACAUAUUGAAGAUCGCUAUAGCCACCAAGUAAUCAAGUAGUGUCAGUCCGUGGUGGCAGUCCACACCACAUGCAUCCUGGGGAAGGAGGUGGUGCUGCCUGCGUGGUAAACAAUGGUGCCAGAUUUGAGGGUGACGCAUGUGUGGGGCUUGGGGUUAUUAAUUUAGCAGUUCUUUACUGCACAUUUUGCUUUUUAUCCUGUCUUUCAAAUGCUUCGCUGUGACACCUGUUUACACAACUGCAGUCGGUUUAUGGAUGCCUGUGAUAGAAAUAGUUUACAAAAAAUAUAUCAUCUUUGUUUUUCUUUAGAAAGAGCUCAUCUAAAUAGUAAGUUAAGGUUGCGUCUAUGAAACCGGUGCACCUUGUCUUAUUUCUACGAGCUUUAAAAAGUCCAAAUACUGAUGAGGCUGUGGAUCAGAAGGAACCAAAAGAGACUGUGUUUGUGUCAGGUUGUCCUCCUUGCCUCAGGAACGGUCAUGGGGUGUUGCAUGAUCAUGUGUGUACUGGUCGUGUUCCUGCAGAGUCCUAGUCAGUCUAGGAGGAGUUGGGUGUGCUUAUGAGACAUGUCAGUAUGGAAAUAAAGGCUGUGAGGAUGUUUCUUAAGUUUCCAAAAGUGAACAGUAGAAACAUUUUAGAUUCCAUCUUAAUUUCUAGAUAACAGAAAGUAGUUACAUCACAGAAUGAAAAAUAUGACGUUGCAUGCUGCCAUGAUAGCAAGCAGAAGAAACAAAAUCUUGGUAAUAUACAUAUGUAUGCAUAUUAUGCAAAUAUAUUUAUAUUAACAUACAAUGUUAUAAGAAUGAUAACAUAACUGCAAGGGGGAAUCACUCUAGAUGGUUUUACCUUAGAGUAACAAAGAACCUGAGACGUCUAUGCUUCCAGUUAAAUAGCGGACCUAGAAAUCUGGACAAGAUGUAGAGCACAUUUUUAGUGAUUGAAUUUCAUUAUCAAAAUGUGCCACUGUGUUCCCACAAGACAGUUAAGCUGGACCCACUUAAUGUUAACAGAAAUCCCCCACAUGUAUGGGGCCGUGGAGUACUUACAAUGGGACACCGUUUACUCCCAGUGAGUUUUCAAGAGAUGGACAUUCAGACAUGAGCAUGGGAGCUACCUACCAGUAAGAACCAGGUAAGAGCGCUGCCAGACUCACCUCACAUGCUCACCCACUACAGAGAAGCAUACCUGAUGAAACAAGCCCAUCACAUAGAAGCCAACAAGCCUUGGCUGCAAACUGAAAGAGAGGAUAUGAGGUGUACAACUACCACUGUGGGAGUUCCCCAAGAUUAACUAAGAAUUCCUUUCUGGCUUUUAAGAGAAAAUAUCUAACUUAUGAUAAUAAAAGACACACUUUGGGAUGACUGUGUUUCACGCCCUCAUUCUUGAGGCAUAAUAUUUAGAUACUUGUCCCUUUCAAUUAAAAAAGAAAAAAAAGCUAUGACUUUCUUUAAUAUGCAUCCUGUGUUAAAUUGUCCAUAGUUGCAAAAUGUAUGGUAUGUAUGCGUAUUUGUUUUACAUACACAGAUA